rnacentral:lncRNA from 1 species
GUGUCCUGAGGUGCUACAUUUUAGCGUUUAAAAAAUCUUGUCUGAUAAUAGAGGUAUAUGAUAAUUGAGAAUCUCACAUAUUUUGAAAGUAUUACUACAUUGUCUCUAGUAUUUUUUUCAGUUUCUGCUCACUUAUUUAUCGAAUCUUAAUUUAUUCUUCUAUAUUUUUAUUUUUCAGCGGCAGGUUCAUGGAGACAAAAUAAUAAUCCGCAGUCUGCAUUUGCUUCUGUGGAUUCAAAGGAAGAAUUUUGGAAUGCCAAUUCGGGAUCAAGAUCCUCUGGAGAAAAAUCUAAUGCUGGAUAUUUUCGGAACGAUAUUCGAAAGAACAAUUUUAUGCAGUCCAGCCCACAGCACUCGGUGGAUACAUUUUUCAACAAGUCCGACAAAUAUAAUCAUACACCUUUGCAAAAGCAUGUGAAUGAAAAUUCCAGCGCAUCAAAGUCAAAAACUAAUUCUAAUAGUGGGGACUACAGUGCCAUGUGGGAAGAACUGCAGGUAUUUAAUUUUAUUUCUUUGGUAGGGAAGUCGGCUUUUGGUCUCUUUAGAGUGUUUUGUGAAGCUGUUAGGAGCACCACCGUCAAGACUCUAGAUUCUAGAGAUAUCAUAAUCAACUACACCAUAAUAUCUCAUAAUGCCAUCAUUCAUACUAGAACCAACAAGCAAAGGUGGAGAAAAUCUUCAAAACAAAAAUCAAUAAAUCUUCAAGGAAGAAUAGACAGCUAA